CCCACACCCAUGCGUGUAGGACCCCAAAGGAUCACCAUUAAAUUUGACAUAGAUCUCUAGAAAAGUUAUCACAUGAGUGUGAGACUUGACUUUUCUAGAGAUCUGUGUCAAAUUUAAUGGUGAUCCUUUGGGGUCCUACACACAUGAGUGUGGG
rfam:Amborella trichopoda AMTR_V1.0_contig_42589, whole genome shotgun sequence.